rnacentral:rRNA from 1 species
UACAUGGGGUGCAAACGUUGCUCGGAAUCAUUGGGCGUAAAGCGCGCGUAGGCGGUUACUUAAGUCGAAUGUGAAAGCCCUCGGCCUAACCGAGGAAGUGCAUCCGAAACUGAGUAGCUAGAGUACGAAAGAGGGUCGCGGAAUUCCCGGUGUAGUGGUGGAAUGCGUAGAUAUCGGGAGGAACACCAGUGGCGAAGGCGGUUACCUGGGGCUUUGCUGACGCUGAUGCGCGAAAGCGUGGGGAGCGAUCCGG